UACGGAGGGUGCAAGCAUUAAUCGGAUUUAUUGGGCGUAAAGGGCGCGUAGGCGGAAAUGUAAGUCAGAUGUGAAAUCCCAGAGCUCAACUCUGGAACAGCAUUUGAAACUACAUCCUUGAGGGUAGGCGGAGAAAAUGGAAUUCCACAUGUAGCGGUGAAAUGCGUAGAUAUGUGGCAGAACAUCAGUGGCGAAGGCGAUUUUCUAGCUUAUUCCUGACGCUGAGGCGCGAAAGUAAGGGGAUCAAACAGG
rnacentral:rRNA from 1 species